ensembl:lncRNA
CAAAGUAAUUGGUCUGGAUACUGAAACAUCUGAACAUUACUGAACAGUUUAUUGUUAUAAAUAAAUAAAUUAUAUAAAUUAAACGAGUCAAACUGGUUUUGUUUUAUAAUGGCACUUCAUGUUACCACAUUUGACUUACCUGAACUCUAAAUCAGGUGUGUGUGUGUGUGUGUGUGUGUGUGUGUGUGUGUGUGUGUGUGUGUGUGUGUGUUUAAUCCUAAUCCUGCAGUUAUUUUUGUUUGUACCUGCCUGAGAUAUUUCUUAAUGAACUUUGUUGGUCCUGUUUCCCAAAAUAUAAGCAGGUGAGAGAUUUACAGCAGCGUGACGAUGCAGCAGUUACAGAAGAUGAAUGAAAAUGCAGAAUCUAACUCUUCGACUAAAUAAAUAUAAUCAUAAGCAAUCAAAUAUUAUUCUGCAUACUCGAGCCGCUAAUGCAUAUAAAACAGCAGAUGAAACUAUAUUUAAAAACCGGGACGGUCAUUAAAUGGAGGUUAGUGUGUGAGUGUGACGAUCUGAAAUAUCACAGUGCGGUGAGGAUUUAACACUGAACUCACACACACACAUCAGUACUCUAACUAUAGAGUAACUAUAGACGUCAGUGUUUCUCAGAAGCCGUGUGAGAGUCAGAAGCCGUGCGAGAGUCAGAAGCCGUGUGAGAGUUACACAUGCAGGAGGAAGUUGUUGAAGCGCGUGUUUUCUGCAUGAUAUCGGCUGGAGUGAGAGAACAUCGAAGGAGACACGUGUUCAUCAGAGACAUUAAGACAUGAGGAGGGAAUAUUCUCUGGAUGAAGUGAAGAAUGAAGUGAAAGUGUCUCUGUAAGAUUAUUAGGUCAGAUUAUCCUUCACACCGUGGGCGCGUUUUCUUUAAAGCACAGCGCGACGACUUUAACACAAACACGGACUUUAUUUUAUUCCUUCUAUAAAUCAACAACAGUGAAUUAAAAGUGUGAUGAAAUCUCCUGCGUCUCUCCACAGUCUCGUGGCUGCACUGCUUUGUGCACGAGAGUUGAAUAAUAAUAUCAAAUGUGUGUGUGUGUGUAAAAUAGCAGUGUGUGCUGGAUCGAGUGCUAUUCUACACUGUGUGCUGCUGAAUAAUGAGUGUGGAAGAUUAACCCCGUCAUCAUUACAGCUAGGACUCUCCAUGCAGUGAUAUGCUGCUGAUAUACAAGACUCCUGUUAGAUUUCCUUCAGCAUUCGCUAAAUCUUCUCAUUCACACGUCAUCAUAUCACGCUUUUACUCUUCAUUUUUAUUGUCUUUUGCUUUUAUUGCGUUACGUUACUUUUGACAGCGAAGAAAAAAAGCUAUUCUUGGUUCUUCAGUCCAUAUUUUCUAUCACGAUGGGUUUUUUCAGGUUUAAAGGUGAGUGUCUGUGUUUAAAGGCGUCGGUCUAGAAGCAGUUGAAAAACUCGGACGCAUCUACACAAGAAAAAUCUGGCAACCUCAGAGGCGUGAAUUCAAUAAUCUGAAUGCAAAGCUCAGAAAAUCCAUUUAAGCAGCUUGUGACUCAGUGAAGACACUGAGCUCAGACUCGCACUUCACCCGGACAUCGGGGAUCAGACUCUGAUAACUCGAUUACGCAACGUUUCAGUCUCGUCGGUGCAGUCUGCAUGCAGGAGUUUAGGAGAACAGGGUGUAUU